AUAAUUUGAAACGGUCGUACAACUUAACGAUCAAUCAAUGGCAUUGGUGCGUUGUUCAAACAGAUCUUUGGUUGCAUCACGUCCAUAUUUAAUUAGAGCCGAGUCUAAUUAAGAGUGCGGAUUUAUUGUGUGGAGUGUAACGUAAUGCCGGUGGUGGUCGAUCGAUCAGUCGGAGCCCCGAGGCGGUGCCCCGACACAAUAGACUUGCGUCAAUUAUAUUCCGUUCUCGUCGGCUACCGUUGACGUUCAUCAAUCACGGAUUACUCGCCGUAAUAAUUAUUGACAGACUCAUAAUAAUUACUGUACGCCGCCCUAAAUGAGGGUUACUCGUCUAAUGACUCGGUGAUUGCCCGUCGAUGUGCUUGUAUCAAGAACAAGUUUUGCAAUUUGUCUUGUGCUGUAAAAUGGAUAAGAGUUUUUUUGCUUGCGUGGCAUGAAUCCGUGUAAGGAAACUUAAUGAAUCGCUUAUACUCUUGCAUUUUAAAGUAGUAUUUAAGAGUUGCUGUAGUCUUAAUACCAUCUCUAUGCGGUAGAAACUCACGUCACACAACCUAUCCUAACCCAUUUUUUAACGAGGCUUCGAAAUUCAAAUUUGACACUUGCGGCGUCAAGUCGUUGGAGUAAGAAUAUUUUUAUAAAAUGUAAAUGAAAUAAAAUGCCGCUACCCGAGCGGGACAUAAACACAGGCAUGAAUUAAUGCCGAUGGCGCGAUGUGGCGCCGCUCGCCGCGCGCCGCGCGUCGCCGCGCCGGCGCGGCCGGUAGUUCGGAUGCUGGCGUUGGUAGAGACCAGUGAGUGGGCGAGUGCGGCAUGUCACCGAUGAGAAAUUGUCGCCUGCGUCCGGAAUCGACAUAUUAUCACUGAUCGCUGGCUUUCUCCGAAAUACACCCACUACACGGUUGUUAAAAUUUAUCAUACAACGUGGGUAGUUGGCGGGGCGGUGUGCGAGGAGAGAGGACGCGGCGCCCGCGGCACGAGUUACCGCCACGGGCGACUGCGCCCAACGGAUUAUAGCUGAAAUUAAUAGUUGUAUCAACUAUCAACACGUUCCAAUGCUUCUGGGUUUUGCAUAGUGGUCGUGAAUGUUGCUGCCAUUGUUAGUCAAUUAGUCUGUUAGUAAGUAAGGACUUUAAGUCUCAACAAUUUGAAAGAUUGUGAUAGUAUUGUACACAGUAAAUUAUAAUUUUAUAAUACUUUGUAUAAAGGUGGAUAUUAUGAUUAGGCUGUUGACGUAAGAUGAUGAUCAUUUUAAUUAUGUUUUUAAGGUUAUAUUAAAUAUGUAGUUUAAUACAAGAACUCUGUUAUUUUUUUUAUUUUCAUUUCAGUUAAUUUUACAGAAUAUGGCUCCAUCGUUAUCAGACGAUGAUUUUGCCAAUGUUAAAGUAGGAAAAGACAUUUUGACCAAUGUUCAACUAAUUUCUUACAUACAAUUGCAUAAUCGUUCAAAUGUAAUGCCAUUCAGGUUGACACGAGACGUUAUUGUUUUGAAAAUAGAUUUUUACAUCUUG